UUACAGAAUGUUAAGGGACAGGUCAGAAGUUAGACAAGAAAGAGAAUUAAUUAGAGCACUAGACUUUUCAAUGAUAAAAUUUGAGAAACCACCAUAGAUACUUUCUAGUAAAGGAGUAACCAAAAUAUUCAACAAAGAAAGGAUACUUGAACCUGAUUCUCAAAUUGCAGUAAGUGAAAUAUCAAUGCUCUAAGUCUCUUUGUCCCUGAAUGAAAAAAAAAAAAAAAAAAGCAACAUGCCUUGAUCAUAACAUGAAUGAAAGGUAAGCCUCAACAUAUGACUGAAGCAUCACAAAUGGAAGUCUAUAAGGAAAUUGUUUGAGGUGAAAUAUCUUUGAGCAUGAAGCAAUUUGCGAACAACUUAAUCUAUAAUCAUAGUGACAUUAGGCAAAAUCUCAUUGUAUGAAGUUGAAAAUAUUGACAGUUAUGACUAAUAGUAGACAUUUGCUGUAAUAUUGACAAUAAUGGAAAGACCCUUACCGUAAAUUUGUGAAGGAAAAGGUGAAAAAGAGGAAAAAAUAUGAUGGAACUUAAAAAUCGUGUCCUUCUUAAAAUCCAUAUGCAGGCUCAACAAAAAAAAUAACAGAUGACUUCUAAAUUUUUUGCAAAAUCAGUUCACUUAGUAUAUCACUAAAAUGCAUUGAAGUAAUUCUUGGAAUAACUGAACUCUUCAAAACAAUUUGAAAUAUUUCAUUAAGAAGUUCAGAAAGCACAGAAAAAGAGGGAGGGGGACCAAUUCAUUAUGCGUGUUUAAACUGAGCUUCUAGUUCCAAUGAUACAUUGUCCAAAGAUGUAACAUUCAAUCUUGCGAGUUCUUCCUGUUUUCUUUCAUUUUGUUAGUUCAUUUAUGACAAACAAUGUCUAGCAUAUUAGCUUGGAGAUUUUAUAUAAAAUCAUACACUUUUGAGGAAAAAAGUAAACUGGUUGUUCAUUCAUGUACAUAUUCUCUCAAAUUUAUAUUGAAAGUGUGAGGCUUCAAGUCAAACACUAACAAGCACCUAGUAGAAGGAUCUUUUAUGGAUGACUCCAUGUCAGGUAGAAAUAUUCAGACCAUUUGAAACAUAGGGGGGAACAACAAAAUCUGACCAGUAUGAAUAAUUAUUAUUCUGGAUAAUAAGGGUGAACUAACCAUAUAUGCGCAUCAAUAAAAAAAAUGCAUAAUUUCAUAACAUAAAACUGAUUUCUAGUUUUAUAAUUCAAACACCAACAAUCAUUAAUCAAGAGAAAAAGAAGGUUGUAUAUGCACCUUCCCCUUGUUGCAAAGGGUGCACGCACUUUUGGCCAUGAGCUUCACUGCAGCUUCUUAUUUAUCUCAAUCAAGCUCUGGAACUUUCUGAGGAUCAUCAAUCUCCACCGUAUUAGCCUUGUCCAUAAGGUCAAUGAUAAUUUACAAGAUAUAUAUGACGGUGGCAAGGGGCAUAGAGGUAGAGGUGCUGGAAGGGAUGAUAACUUUGGUGAUGGAAACUUCAAAUGCUUACCCAAUAUUCAAUUUGUUUCUCCAUUACAACCAACAAGAUCAUGAAUAGAUUAUUAUAAAAAAUGAUGACUUAAAUAAUUCAAUCGGAAUUAUCAUGUCAAAUUCAAACUUGGUACCACGUGAUAUUACUGGAAUCGCAAUAAAUAAUCACAACCGCUGCUGCUACCUUAAUCUCAGUAAACAAAUAGGGAAGUUGAAAACAAGAAAUACCAACUCAAAGGUCGGUGUUAUACUUACACAAGACAAAUUUCAGAUAUAGUGCUUGGAUGCUGAAACUUGUGGUAAAUGACCACAACAGUAGAAUUGAAAAAAUACUGAAAUAGUAGCCAUGUCAUUAAUUGGUGAACAUUUAUAUGAAACAUAGCAAGCUUGUCUAUCAAGCUCAUGAACAUUGCUACCACUCUGCUACAACUAUAGCUGAUUCAGCAAGAUAAAUCCCAUAGAUUGAAAUAAUUACAAAUUGGAAUCUUUAAUGAAGAUCCUAUUAAUCGGAAGGACCCAAACUACUCCACUAUCACUAUAAUGAAGCAUUUGUGAAUUGUUGGUCUAGUAAGCUAACUUCCAAAAUUUAAAACCUGCAUUAUAUCCCAUUUGACACCAUUUUUCAAGCUCUAUCUUAGGAUCAAAAGUGUAUCUAUGUUGCAGAAGACCUAAUCUAUUCAUGGAAAGACAUAUAAAUUUGAUAUUUUUGUUCAUUUCACGGGGAAAACCAUAAUAAACAGAAUUACAAUGCCUCACCUUUAUCAAGCUCAUAGAUUUAUUUGUUUGGUAUUGCUUUACUAUUAUGGUAUAUACUAUGGUUUGCAGUUCUCUUAGGUUGAAUAAUUGCUUUCUACAGAAAUUAUAACACAUCUUACUAAAAAUAGAAAAUUUUAGGCUUGGAUUUCACUCUUGAACUUAUCUUUAUUUUUGAAAAAUUUCAAAUUUCAAAUUAUGGAUUUCAUGAACAGUUUUUUUAACAAUAUCUGAGUGGUUGAUCAACAGUCUUUUGAUUGUCAAACAUAAUUCUAGUUUUGUAACUCCACAAUUUUUCAAAUUUUUUCACCCUCUAAACAAAAUCCUGAGAUGCUUUAGUAUCUUUGUAUAUGCAAAUAAACAUAAAACAAAAAUACUAUUUCAAGUGAAAUGAGUACUCCGUAGUGAAAUAAGAUCUAUACCAAAUAAAAGUUUUCACAGGUUCUAGAAUGGUCCUAAAAGAACAUAAAAAAAAUCUGAAGGCUAAAACAGUUAAAAAAACCACCCUCAAAUUUGAUCAGAUAAAAAAAAAACAGUUAGGUGUCCAAAGAUUUCAGUUGGAACUCAGGAGUUCAGUGUGCUCGGUCAAAAAUUGAUUUUCAAUCAGAUCAUACGAGAUGAGCUUUAAAUCAAGCCAGUGAAAGGAAAAAAAAAAGCAGCAGAUAUUGACAGUAAUUACAAUAAAGACAAUAAAUGAACAGAUAUAAGUUAGCCUUAAGAAACUAAAUAUUUGGUUUAACAACUAAAAUUCAUGUCCUCCCACUCAGCUCAGUGAUAGCAAAUCCUUAACGAUGGCAAUCUUGAAAUGUCCUUAACAUUUAUAAACUAUGUGUUGCAACAGUACACAUAAAACCAUAGAGUAACAAAUUGUGAAGUACAGCACAAAAAGUCAUUCCAUAUACAACUAAUUGAUGUUCUGAUUUAAGGACAACAAAGUUGCAUCCACCUAUAAAUUACAUGAUCAGUACAGAACAAAGCUUAACAAGUGAAGAUAAAAUUGAACAUGGGAGAAGUGAAGAUAAUUUAUUCUUCAUUAUAAAAUGAAACAUUAAGAACCCUUAGUCACCCAAAAAAUAAAGACAUAAGAAGUUACAUCUUAGAUCAAAAUUAUGCAUAGAUCUCUUAGUUGUUGAAUAUGAUUAUAGUUGUGCAAUAUCAUAAGUUUCCAUAUUUUCACCCUCUAAGCAAAUCCAAAGAUGCUUUAAUAUCCUUAUAUCUGUGAAUAAAGAUUUAGCAAAGACAACAUAGCAAGAUUUUAAAUUCAUCAUGUGAAAGUACUUUGGCCUGGCAAUAAAGCAACACAAUUCAAUCUUCAAAGUUUCUUAAUGGUCCUAAAAGAAUAUAAAAUUCAGAAGUUCAACUUAUAUCAUAGGAAACCUAUAGUUAGAAAAGAAAAAAGAAGCAUAGGGCCAUAAGCAAUUACCUCUUAUAAUGCAUAGAUCUCACGAUUGUCAAACACACUUCUAGAUAUACAAUGUGAUUUCUUCAUGUGAUAACAAAGCCAUAUUGAAUGUUAUAAGAAAUCUCAACUCAAAAAAAAAAUGAAAAAGGAAAUCUGAAGUUUGUUAUACGGUUCAAUCUUCAAAGUUUGUUUUGGCAAUAUGAUAUCUUCGUGUGAUACUUAAGGCCAUAUUGCAAGUGCUUUGUUCUGGCAAUAGAGCUACAUAGUUCAAUCUUCAAAGUUUCUUAAUAGUCCUAAAAGAAUAUAAAAUUUUUAAGUUUAACUUGUAUCAUAGGAAACCUAUAGUCGGAAAGAAAAAUAGAAACAUAAGACCAUAGGCAAUUACCUCUUAUAAUGCAUAGAUUUCUCGAUUGUCAAACACUCUUCUAGGUGUGCAAUGUGAUGUCUUCAUGUGAUACUAAGGCCAUAUUGAAUAUCAUAAGAAAU
rnacentral:lncRNA from 1 species